rnacentral:ncRNA from 1 species
AUUGCCUCAGUAACGGCGAGUGAAGCGGCAACAGCUCAAAUUUGAAAUCUGGUCCUUUUAGGGCCCGAGUUGUAAUUUGUAGAAGAUGCUUCGGGCGUGGCUCCGGUCUAAGUUCCCUGGAACGGGACGUCAUAGAGGGUGAGAAUCCCGUAUGUGACUGGCUGCCUCCGCCCAUGUGAAGCUCUUUCGACGAGUCGAGUUGUUUGGGAAUGCAGCUCAAAAUGGGUGGUAAAUUUCAUCUAAAGCUAAAUAUUGGCCAGAGACCGAUAGCGCACAAGUAGAGUGAUCGAAAGAUGAAAAGCACUUUGGAAAGAGAGUUAAACAGUACGUGAAAUUGUUGAAAGGGAAGCGCUUGCAAUCAGACUUGCGCGCGGUCGAUCAUCCGGGGUUCUCCCCGGUGCACUCGGCCGCGCUCAGGCCAGCAUCGGUUUCGGUGGUGGGAUAAAGGCCUUGGGAAUGUGGCUCCUCUCGGGGAGUGUUAUAGCCCUCGGUGCAAUGCCGCCUACCGGGACCGAGGACCGCGCUUCGGCUAGGAUGCUGGCGUAAUGGUUGCAAGCGACCCGUCUUGAAACACGGACCAAGGAGUUGAAGACUGCCGCGAGUGUUUGGGUGUUAAACCCAUACGCGUAAUGAAAGUGAACGGAGGUGAGAACCCUUAAGGGUGCAUCAUCGACCGAUCCUGAAGUCUUCGGAUGGAUUUGAGUAAGAGCGGUAUUCUUCUGACCCGAAAGAUGGUGAACUAUGCCUGAAUAGGGUGAAGCCAGAGGAAACUCUGGUGGAGGCUCGCAGCGGUUCUGACGUGCAAAUCGAUCGUCAAAUUUGGGUAUAGGGGCGAAAGACUAAUCGAACCAUUGAUCACUAGGUGGUUAAGAGGCCUCGCGAAAGCGGCGGCCUAGUCCCAGCCGGGGGCAACAUUAUCAAAUUGACGGGGACGUCCUGUUUUAAAUUCCACGCUACCGCAGCCGGUCCCGAAAGGGCGGCGCGCACCCGGUUAACGACCGCGGGGAUGGUAAUAACGCGUGGAUAGGGAUAAUCCGCAGCCAAGUCCUACCGGCGCAAGCCCAUGGACGCAGUUCACAGACUAAAUGGUAGUGGGCGCGGGGGCAGUCCCGCGCUUAAGUUAUAGUCGAUCCACCCGGAGACGGGUUGGCGGGGAAUGAUCGUCGACGGCCGGCCUUAGAGCCGUCGACAGGAGGCCCGGCCGGGGGACGCAAGUCUC